rnacentral:rRNA from 1 species
UACGUAGGGUGCGAGCGUAAUCGGAAUUACUGGGCGUAAAGCGUGCGUAGGCGGUUGGCAAAGUCAGCUGUGAAAGCCCCCGGCUCAACUGGGGAGGGUCACGCGAUACUGAUCGACUCGAAGGCAGGAGAGGGUAGUGGAAUUCCCGGUGUAGUGGUGAAAUGCGUAGAUAUCGGGAGGAACACCAGUGGCGAAGGCGACUACCUGGACCAAUAUUGACGCUGAGGAGCGAAAG